GGAGCGGUGUCCGAGCGGCCGAAGGAACUCGACUGGAAAUCGAGUAGCCUCCCAAAAGGAGGCUCGAGGGUUCGAAUCCCUCCCGCUCCGCCA
rnacentral:tRNA from 1 species